rnacentral:lncRNA from 1 species
UCCAUUCCGCCAAUGCUUCACUGCAUUGCUGCUGCCCGCUCGACAAUCCCUCAUAAGACCUUCCUGUCCCUGCCUCCUCAUGUGCACUUGAAGCCGCCAUUUCUCACUCCACAACUCCCACCAAGCUCCUGCAACUUCACAUGUCCCAGUACAAGCAGAUUACACUUCUUUACAGACUUAAUUCAAAAAGUUAAAAGCUAUGCAACACAGCCAACUCUCAGUUUAACGUAUCUUAAAAAUCCUCAGACCCAGUGGCAAAGCCAGAAAUUUCGAUAAGAGUGCUCACGAUUUAAAUAUAUAUGUGUAAAAAAGUAAUAUUUUACCAAUAUAUUCAGUAUAAUUAUCCGACAAGGGGUGUCUAAGUGACCACACUUCAGACCGAUGCAUAGUACAUUGGCAAAAUUUUAAACAUUCCCAACUGUGGGAGAUUCCAAUAGAAAUUGAGAAUCAAUAACCAGCAAAAUGGAGCGAAUCAGAUAGAGACUAUCAUAGAACCAACUCAACUAAAUUCCUAUUAGGCAUAAUCUUUAUUUUUUCUAGAAAUGAAAUCUCAUUAGUAAACUUCUUCUAUUAAUGACUGGCGUGUCUCGGUCAGCUUGCACGCACCUUGACUAAUUAUCAAUAUACCAGUAAAGAAAUAAUUCAUUAAAAUCCACAAUAAGAUAACUCCCAAUAAACCCUAAUUCCACCAGACUUCCAAUAACAGUCAAGCAAAAUUGAAUUGAAAUCUAAAGCCCAUCAAAAAAAUAAAACAGAAACAUAUCAACUAAUUAUCAAAAACCCAGUAAAGAAUUAAUUAAUUAAAACCAAUCGAAAUAAGAUCGAGAAAGUAAGUUUAAAAAAAUCAAAACAAACAAUUUCAGAAAAGGAUCGAAAAAACGAAAUUCCCGAAAUACCCAUGAGAAACCCUAAAAAAGCAAAUUAAAACACAAAGCAAGGAAUUAAGAACAGAAGCGAAUAUCGGAAAACACUGACAAUUUUAAUUAAAAAGAAGAUCGAUGUAAAAGGAAGCAGUACCUGAAGCAGAGAAUUAGAGUUUUUUUUUUGUCAAUAGCGAAUGGAAGCUGUAGAGAAAAAAAAGAUUUUAGAGGUCGAAGAAGAAAGCCGAAAGGAGGAAAUUAUUAUGACUAUAUAUAGUAUGCUACGAAAUUUUUGCUUUAUU